UUGAAGAAAUUCUUGGUAUGCAUGUAUGGUAUGUCCUUUUUACGUGUUCAUGUCAUUAUUAGUAUUACUUUACAGGGGGAAACAACCAUUCGUAUAGGCCACCCUACAUAAGUGACUCUUUUAACAAAAACCGACAAAAUCCAACGAAAUUCACAGACACCAUGAAAGAAAUUGCCAAUGAGAAGACAAAAGAAACACCCAAGGAAUCAUCAGUCAAAAACAAACAGAAGGAAACUGACAGUCAGAAUAAAAGAGACCUAAACAAAGAAUCAACUGAUGAAGAUGAAUCGAGAACAUCAAAAGUUGGAGAUGAAAAUAUGGAUCGUGGUGGGAAAGGCAAUGAAAUAUAUG